AAGCCGGGUUACGGUGCCCAACUGCACGCUAACCUAGAACCCACAAAGGGUGUUGGUCGAUUAAGACAGCAGGACGGUGGUCAUGGAAGUCGAAAUCCGCUAAGGAGUGUGUAACAACUCACCUGCCGAAUCAACUAGCCCCGAAAAUGGAUGGCGCUGAAGCGCGCGACCCACACCCGGCCAUCUGGGCGAGCGCCAUGCCCCGAUG
rnacentral:rRNA from 1 species